GAGCAGUUCCCUGGACAGUGAUCCCUCCCCCUGCAGAUAAGGAGUAAUGGGUGCAGGAAGCGCGGGGAGGCAGUGGGAGAGGAGAGAGAAG